UUUUUUUACCAUGUUCUAGUGUUUUUUGCCAGGAUUGAUUGCCCAGCGCAAGAAACUCCUGAAAUCCUGAUGGAGAACGUUCGGCUUUGUUUGCUCAACCAAAACUAUGCUUUGGUUGGCACCCUUGUGCUUCUUCCUUUUCUGUCCUCCCUGUGUGUCCACAUGUCCAUCCUGGGUGACGUUCCUUCCUUUCCAGACUUGUCUCUGUGCAUCCGCCACCCUUAUCUUUGCCCCCCCCCAUCUGCUUCUCAGUCAUGCGCUCACUCUCUGUGUCUCUCUUGGCUUCUCUGUCUCUUGCCGUUUCCUGUCCGUCUGCGGAGCUGCCUGACUUCCUCUCCUGUCCAUUAAUCGAGAAGCAGUCAUACACAAGAGCUGGGAAACGUGGCUUUGCAAGCAUUCAUGUGAGCACCGUGUGUGUGUGCCGCGCCCCGGGCAGCAGUGACUCAGGUUUGACCCUUUGGCUGUAGCCAAAUAAGUGCGCCAGUGUGCCAGGAUGGCCAACACGGUUUGGAACCAGGGGAGGUGCAUUUUGAUGAGGGGGCGGAGCCAGGGAUGGUGAGGGGUUCCAGGCAUGGAGCUAAGAAGUUUGUUUUUCCUUGUUGACACUAAAGGAGUAGGCUGGAGGCUUCUGAGCCAGGCAGGGCUCUGCUGGACUGGGGGCGGUAUUACCAGGGAAUGGCAUGGGUUGGAAAAAGCCAAGACUGGAGAUGGGGGCAGAGCAACUGGGGAACUGGGGCACUAGGCCACAUAGGAGACCAGGAGUUGGCAAAAGGCCGUGUGCUGCCAGGCAAUCAGUACUGCAGCCCAGCUGGUGGGCUGGGGGAGGCAGGCAGAGAAACUCAGGCCUGGGUCGUAGCCUAGACUAAGCCAACAAGGAUCAUGGAGGUCCACAGUCAAGAGCAAGGAGGGACUGCAGACCUUAAAGGCCAAGUCUAACCUUCUGCUCCUGUGGGUGAGGAAUGCUUUAUUUCCCUCCAGGGGAAACAGACCACCUGCUCUUUGCCAGUUGCAUUCUCCUCGUCUGCCAGUAGAGGUCGCCAUUGUCCACUCGGUCCUAGGGGCAGCUACGUGACCCAAGCCUGCACCACCACCAUGGUCCCACCCCGUGGCCACAGCUGCUUCAAGGAUGGUCACAUGAGCCAGUGGGGCCCAGUGACAGCCCUGGAGUUUCUGUGGGAACUGCUGGAACUGCCAGUCACUAAAGAAUUCCCUAGGGGGCCAGCAAGGUCGGGAGAGGCCUGCCUGAGAAUGACUUGAACACAAAAGAGUUGAAGGAGGCGGAGUGUGAGCUUCCUGCGGGCAGCCCUCCUGAACUUCGUGUUGUGAGUCACCAAAUGCCCUUCAGGCUCUUGAGAGAAAAGCCUCUGGGAGGCAAAGACCAGGCUGCGGUGCCAGGCCUGUGGCUCCUGACUCCCUCCUGGAUACCCCUGGGACACUGGUGCCCAUGGAUGCACUGGGUGACGUGAGGUCAAUGGCUUCUCUCUUCAGACUUUGGCAGAAAUAAAAAUCUGCUUUGCACCAAAGAAUCUCAAGAGACUCUUAAGUCCUGCUCUUUCCUCCCUCGGGCUCCCUCAGUUAUGAGCUCAUUUGACCUCCGAGCCACCUGGCCAGCAGGGGCCAGCUCCCCAUUAUACAGAUAGGAAAACUGGGGACUGGGAAAUGACUGAACAGAGUCCUGCAGUGACUCUGUCUGUGAAGAAAGCUUCGGAAUCCAGCCCGUCUUUCCGUGGGUGAGGGGUCAGCAAAUCCAGCCCACUGCCUGUUUUUGUAAAUAAAGUAUUAUUGAGGGGCACCUGGGUGGCUCAGUCAA